rnacentral:rRNA from 1 species
GGUAGUCCACGCCGUAAACGAUGAGUACUAGGUGUGGGGGUAUCGACCCCCUCCGUGCCGAAGCCAACGCGAUAAGUACUCCGCCUGGGGACUACGGCCGCAAGGCUAAAACUCAAAGGAAUUGACGGGGGCCCGCACAAGCAGCGGAGCGUGUGGUUUAAUUCGAUGAUACGCGAAGAACCUCACCCAGGUUUGACAUGCACGUUUACCGAUCCGAAAGGUGAGGGACCCUUCGGGGGCGCGUGCACAGGUGUUGCAUGGCCGUCGUCAGCUCGUGCCGUGAGGUGUUGGGUUAAG